rnacentral:rRNA from 1 species
AGUCGAGGGGUAGUUAUCUUCGGAUAAUGAGACCGGCGCACGGGUGCGUAACGCGUAUGCAAUCUACCUUUCACAGAGGGAUAGCCCAGAGAAAUUUGGAUUAAUACCUCAUAGUAUAGCAGUCUCGCAUGAGACCACUAUUAAAGAUUUAUCGGUGAAAGAUGAGCAUGCGUCCCAUUAGCUAGUUGGUAUGGUAACGGCAUACCAAGGCUACGAUGGGUAGGGGUCCUGAGAGGGAGAUCCCCCACACUGGUACUGAGACACGGACCAGACUCCUACGGGAGGCAGCAGUGAGGAAUAUUGGACAAUGGGCGCAAGCCUGAUCCAGCCAUGCCGCGUGCAGGAUGACGGUCCUAUGGAUUGUAAACUGCUUUUAUACAGGAAGAAACACCUCUACGUGUAGAGACUUGACGGUACUGUAAGAAUAAGGAUCGGCUAACUCCGUGCCAGCAGCCGCGGUAAUACGGAGGAUCCAAGCGUUAUCCGGAAUCAUUGGGUUUAAAGGGUCCGUAGGCGGUUUAGUAAGUCAGUGGUGAAAGCCCAUCGCUCAACGGUGGAACGGCCAUUGAUACUGCUAGACUUGAAUUAUUAGGAAGUAACUAGAAUAUGUAGUGUAGCGGUGAAAUGCUUAGAGAUUACAUGGAAUACCAAUUGCGAAGGCAGGUUACUACUAAUGUAUUGACGCUGAUGG